ACGGGCCGAUUGCCACGUCUUGCAUGUCGAGCGUGGUUCUUUUGAAUCUCUGGUUGGAUGGGUGAGUGACACGUGCUUAAUCUACCCUUUAGAUUGCAAUACCCUGUGGAAACAUUGGCUAAUGCCGGAUACGCAUGGAAUCGCAUGAUUCCGUUGUGAAAGGAGCCUUUAAAGGUCCGCUAGAGGAUGAGGGUGCGGAACUUUAGUUAGAUGGUAUGGUAAUGGCCUACCAGGACUAUGAUGUUUAGCCGGGUCGAGAGACUGAACGGCCACAUUGGGACUGAUAUACGGGCCAAACUCCUACGGGAGGCAGCAGUAGGGAAUAUUCCACAAUGAGCGAAAGGUUGAUGGAGCGACACAGCGUGCACGAUGAAGGUCUUCGGAUUGUAAAGUGCUGUUAUAGGGAAAGAACACCUGGAUGAGGAAAUGCUUCCAGGCUGACGGAACCCUGUCAGAAAGCGAUGGCUAACUAUGUGCCAGCAGCCGCGGUAAUACAUAGGUCGCAAGCGUUAUCCGGAAAUUAUUGGGCGUAAAGCGUUCGUAGGCUGUUUAUUAAGUCUGGAGUCAAAUCCCAGGGCUCAACCCUGGCUCGCUUUGGAUACUGGUAAACUAGAGUUAGAUAGAGGUAAGCGGAAUUCCAUGUGAAGCGGUGAAAUGCGUAGAUAAUAUGGAAGAACACCAAAGGCGAAGGCAGCUUACUGGGUCUAUACUGACGCUGAGGGACGAAAGCGUGGGGAGCAAACAGGAUUAGAUACCCUGGUAGUCCACGCCGUAAACGAUGAUCAUUAGUCGGGUGGUAGAGUUCACUGACGCAGCUAACGCAUUUAAAUGAUCCCGCCUGAGUAGUAUGCUCGCAAGAGUGAAACUUAAAGGGAAUUGAACGGGACCCGCACAAGCGGUGGAGCAUGUGGUUUAAUUUGAAGAUACGCGGAGAACCUUACCCACUCUUGACAUCCUUCGCAAUGCUAUAGAGAUAUAGCGGAGGUUAACGGAGUGACAGAUGGUGCAUGGUUGUCGUCAGCUCGUGUCGUGAGAUGUUUGGUCAAGUCCUGCAACGAGCGCAACCCCUAUCUUUAGUUACUAACGAGUCAUGUCGAGGACUCUAGAGAUACUGCCUGGGUAACUGGGAGGAAGGUGGGGAUGACGUCAAAUCAUCAUGCCUCUUACGAGUGGGGCAACACACGUGCUACAAUGGUCGGUACAAAGAGAAGCAAUAUGGCGACAUGGAGCAAAUCUCAAAAAGCCGAUCUCAGUUCGGAUUGGAGUCUGCAAUUCGACUCCAUGAAGUCGGAAUCGCUAGUAAUCGCAGAUCAGCUACGCUGCGGUGAAUACGUUCUCGGGUCUUGUACACACCGCCCGUCACACCAUGGGAGCUGGUAAUACCCAAAGUCGGUUAGCUAACCUCGGAGGCACCGCCUAAGAGAUGGCGAAGCUUUCAUGCC
rnacentral:rRNA from 1 species